UUGUUAUCAAGAAAGGCAGAGGGAAUAGACCCAUUGAAGCCUUAGCAACCCUUUAGCUUUUAAAGAAGGUGCUAAAUUCUACCCAUUUUGGAUAGAUAACUC
rnacentral:ncRNA from 2 species